UGCCUCAUACAUGCAAGUCGAACGAAAUCUUCGGAUUUAGUGGCGCACGGGUGAGUAACAUGUGGGAAUCUACCUAAAGGUUCGGAAUAACUGCGGGAAACUGUAGCUAAUACCGGAUGUGUCUGCAAAGAGAAAGAUUUAUCGCCUUUAGAUGAGCCCGCACUAGAUUAGCUAGUUGGUGAGGUAAUUGCUCCACCAAGGCUACGAUCUAUAGCUGAUUUGAGAGGAUGAUCAGCCACACUGGGACUGAGACACGGCCCAGACUCCUACGGGAGGCAGCAGUAGGGAAUAUUGGACAAUGGGGGAAACCCUGAUCCAGCAAUGCCGCGUGAGUGAAGAAGGCCUUAGGGUUGUAAAACUCUUUCAUCAAUGAUGAUAAUGACAUUAGUUGAAGAAGAAGCUCCGGCUAACUUCGUGCCAGCAGCCGCGGUAAUACGAAGGGGGCUAGCGUUGUUCGGAAUCACUGGGCGUAAAGCGUAUGUAGGCGGAUCAAAAAGUUAGAUGUGAAAUCCCUGGGCUCAACCCAGGAACUGCAUUUAAAACUAGUGAUCUAGAAUUUGGUAAAGGUUAGUAGAAUUUCCAGUGUAGAGGUGAAAUUCGUAGAUAUUGGAAAGAAUACCAGAAGCGAAGGCGACUAACUAGGCCAUUUUUGACGCUGAGAUACGAAAGCGUGGGUAGCAAACAGGAUUAGAUACCCUGGUAGUCCACGCAGUAAACGAUGAGUGCUAGUCGCUGGUACAUUAGUAUCAGUGUCGAAGCUAACGCAUUAAGCACUCCGCCUGGGAAGUAC
rnacentral:rRNA from 1 species